UGCAAACUGUUUCAACCCACAUAGACUUUUGAAAUUUGUAUCGGACGUCUCGUGAAAGUUGUGACGCAUCAUGGCUACUAGCGGUGCACGUGGACCGUGGAGAGUGACGUUCCUUAGAGCCGUGUGGGUUCAGUUUGGACUUUCAGGCGGACGUCACGGGACCGAUGCCGUGAAAGAUGUGGAACCGUUGAACCUGAAAUCCUGACCAUAAAAGCCAUAACCACGGGUCCCACGU